UUGUGGUCAUAUUACGCUGAAACACCGAUUCUGGUACGAUCACCGAAGUAAAGCAACGUUGAGCCUGGUCAGUACCUAGAUGGGUGAUUGCUUGGGAAUACCAGGUGCUGUAA